AAUUUAACAAUGUCUUCAAAUAUUCAAACCUAACCUAAAUACUUUCGAUUAAUACUGCCAAUAAAUGAAAGAAUAUUAUCCAUAUUUUCUUCAAUAAUCAACCAAUCAAAACUUUCGCACAGAACAGAAAAAAAAUCUCUCAAAAUCAUAAACGAAGCUAUUUGUUAAAGAGUGACAAUUUUCAACGAACACAACUCGACAAUAAACUAAGAGAGCCGGCCCUGGAAUCGGUUGCCUGUUGGAAAUACCAGCACGUAUCGGCACUAGAGGCACACUCGCACACUGCACUUCUGCAUGGCGGAGUACGAACGGACGAACACACAGUCGGCUGGAAUACGAAUGCUGUGACCCGAGUAAAUAUAUGCGAUGCGCGCCGCUUCCUUGUAAACAAGGGCUGCUAAAUGCCGUGAAGUGGCUCUCCGACUCGGGUCGAGGCCGCGUUCCAAACUUCUCCGUACAACCGUCGCGUCCUCUACCAUCCUGCGAGAACUCUCAAACAUUGCGAUGCAACUCGAACGAGUUUCCGCUAUUGUCAGCUCAACCCUGUAGUCUGUUGCUACUCGCCUGCUAAUUUGAUUAUUCCAACCCGAUUCGACGAUGUGGUUUCAUGGCGCCGGCUGUUUCCUCACCUGACAUUCUCCAUCGCUUCUCCUUUACGUUGCAGUUAUGUUGGAUCUUCGACGCGAUGAAUUAAAAGGAACGAUAAUCGUUUUGUUUGUAUAAAAUAAAAGAAUUAAUUUUUCAAAUAAGAUUCAAUUUAAAUUAAUCUUUUGUUAUGUUAUAGUAGUGAAUCUAUGAUAAAUCCUACGUUGAAUUAUUAUCUUUAAACAAUAUUAAACCUUCAAAACAAUGAAUUAAAAAAAAAAACAAAACAACGUUUAAAAGGAACAAUAAUGGUUUUCUUUGCAUAAGAAAGGAUUAACAUUUUAAGUUAUAUUGGAUGUUCGACAAGAUGAAAAGAGCAAUUUAAAGUUUAAAGUCAUCUUUUAUUUAAUUAUAUUAUUGACGUUGAAUUUGAUAUAGACAACUAAGAAAAUAGUUCUAAACUCUUGGCCAGUACAGUACGUCAAAGCAACCGAAUUCAAAACAAGAUUCCAACAACACGAUUCCUAUCAUUCUCCUGUUUCAUCCAUCAGCUUCUCAACUUUCUCAAUCCCUGAAUUGGUUUCUCGCGGGAACAAAUCCUCUCUUGGAUCUCGUACUUUACUUCAAACUUUGGUCUCUCCACGGUAUACCUUUCAACAUUAUAUCAUCGAUAUUUUCAAAUCCUAAGCGAGUAAGAUGAAAAAUUAAGUUAUUAUUAGAAAUGAAAGGAUAUCCUAUUGGCAUAAAAUUUUAUUUUAUGAUCAUUUUUCUCUAAUAAGAAACAGAACAUUCGUUAAAGGACAUAGCUAAUCUUCACUAAGCCAAAGGGACACCCGAGACAGAUUCCAUAAGCGUACACAGGCGCGAGUCAUAAUUUAUGGUCACAUUUAUGCACCUCUUUCGCUUUCCCGAUGCACUUUCUACAGACGAUCUCUAUGCUGCAAUGGAGGAGAGACAUCGGGUAUCUCGUUUUCUUUCUCCUCUCCACAUUACCAAUUCCCACUUUCUCCUUCUCUGUCUCACGCAGUCUCUCUUAUUAACUGUCGUUUCUCUCGUUCCGCCUUUUUCUCUCUUUCCACACGGUGCACUAGGCGCACGUUACGCAAUUCCAAAGAUAUAUGGUCGCUUCAGGAAUAUCUUCGGCCGGUCUCACGCGUGGUACCAUUUACUGGGUGGCGAUUCUCACUUUUAUUCGAGUAGUAAGCCAUCAAAUAUUUCUAAACAAUCUCUAUUUUAUCUUCUGGAGAAAUGAGAAAGUCAAAAUAUAAAAUAAUGAUUUGAAUGUGACGGUAUCCUAAUCAAAAUACGAUGGAAGACCAAAGAUAAAGACAUUCCAAUGUCGAUUUAUUCGUUCGAUGUCACAGUCUUUCAAGAUGAUUAUUGGGAUGAGAUUAUAUGGACAGUGAACAGGUGUUGUGCAACGAAAACGCGGAAAUGCAAUGUCGAUAAACUCGCCUAAGCGAGAGAGACCCAGACGACCGGCGUCGCCAGACUCUCACUUGCCUUCCCCUAUCUCCUCUGCCCGUUUCUCUGGCACGUUACAGAAAUACACCGAGAAAAUUAUGUCACUAAUGCGCCUGGAUAUAUCUCUAGGCGUGGAAAAGCCGUUUCGUUGCGUCGUGAGGUUGACUGGAACAUCCUGAGCUCAAAAGGCGGUCGCUUCUCCCUAUUCCAAUGGUCGGUUAAAUUUUUUUGCGUUAUUCAUUUUAACAAAAAUAUUAAUUAGGAUACUAAAAAAAG